rnacentral:lncRNA from 1 species
GAACGCCCUGGAUUCAUACUAACUUUCCAGUCCUCAGACUUUAAAGAGUCUUCUUGAUUAAGCCUCCAGGAUCGUCAGACGUCUCUGUAAUAUCCCAAAAUUUACCCUUCAUUUUUCCUGGAAGCAUACGCUUUACACCUCAUGCAUGCAUUCAUUUUUAGGUCAUUUAAGAUUAGAUACAUUGCAUUUCAUCAUGUCAAUCAGAAUUAGAUCCAAGAAACUUUAUUUAAAAAAAAAACACAAA